UCCGGUUUAACACCGGCAGUCUCGCUAAAGUGCCCGCCAUUACGCGCUGGCAACUAGCGACAAGGGUUUCGCUCGUUAAGGGACUUAACCCGACACUUCACAGCACGAGCUGACGACAGCCAUGCAGCACCUGUGCUAGUUCCACGGCAAGCCGCGUCAUUCUGCUUUCACAGAACUAAUACUAGCAUGUCAAACCCGGGUAAGGUUCUUCGCGUUGCUUCGAAUUGAGCCACAUCCUCCACCGCUUGUGUGAGCCCCCGUCAAUUCCUUUGAGUUUUAGCCUUGCGGCCGUACUCCCCAGGCGGCGUACUUAACGCUUUUGUUUCGGCCCGCCGCACGUCAGAGUGCGACUAACCUAGUACGCAUCGUUUACGGCGUGGACUA
rnacentral:misc_RNA from 1 species